AUUGAACGCUGGCGGCAGGCCUAACACAUGCAAGUCGAGCGGUAACACAGGGAGCUUGCUCCUGGGUGACGAGCGGCGGACGGGUGAGUAAUGUCUGGGAAACUGCCUGAUGGAGGGGGAUAACUACUGGAAACGGUAGCUAAUACCGCAUAACGUCGCAGGACCAAAGAGGGGGACCUUCGGGCCUCUUGCCAUCAGAUGUGCCCGGAUGGGAUUAGCUAGUAGGUGGGGUAACGGCUCACCUAGGCGACGAUCCCUAGCUGGUCUGAGAGGAUGACCCGCCACACUGGAACUGAGACACGGUCCAGACUCCGACGGGAGGCAGCAGUGGGGAAUAUUGCACAAUGGGCGCAAGCCUGAUGCAGCCAUGCCGCGUGUAUGAAGAAGGCCUUCGGGUUGUAAAGUACUUUCAGCGGGGAGGAAGGCGUUGUGGUUAAUAACCACAGCGAUUGACGUUACCCGCAGAAGAAGCACCGGCUAACUCCGUGCCAGCCGCCGCGGUAA
rnacentral:rRNA from 1 species